rnacentral:rRNA from 1 species
CCUACGGGAGACAGCAGUGAGGAAUAUUGGUCAAUGGCCGGGAGACUGAACCAGCCAAGUCGCGUGAGGGAAGAAGGUACUGUGGUUUGUAAACUUCUUUUAUCGGGGAAUAAAGAUUUCCACGUGUGGCUGUUUGCAUGUACCCUAUGAAUAAGCAUCGGCUAACUCCGUGCCAGCAGCCGCGGUAAUACGGAGGAUGCGAGCGUUAUCCGGAUUUAUUGGGUUUAAAGGGUGCGUAGGUUGUUUUUUAAGUCAGCGGUGAAAGUUCGUGGCUCAACCCUAGAAUUGCCGUUGAAACUGGAAGACUUGAGUGGGAUAGAGGUAGGCGGAAUGCGUGGUGUAGCGGUGAAAUGCAUAGAUAUCACGCAGAACUCCGAUUGCGAAGGCAGCUUACUAAGCCAUAACUGACACUGAAGCACGAAAGCGUGGGGAUCAAACAGGAUUAGAUACCCUAGUAGUC